CAGCCGCCGCGGGAAUACGAAGGGUGCAAGCGUUACUCGGAAUUACUGGGCGUAAAGCGUGCGUAGGUGGUUGUUUAAGUCUGCUGUGAAAGCCCUGGGCUCAACCUGGGAAUUGCAGUGGAUACUGGGCGACUAGAGUAAGGUAGAGGAUAGUGGAAUUUCCGGUGUAGCAGUGAAAUGCGUAGAGAUCGGAAGGAACAUCUGUGGCGAAGGCGACUAUCUGGGCCAUUACUGACACUGAGGCACGAAAGCGUGGGGAGCAAACAGGAUUAGAUACCCGAGUAGUCCCUGUCUCUUAUAC
rnacentral:rRNA from 1 species